GUGGGGGGUCUUUUUUGCUGGUCUCUUUUGAGGUCGGCUCCCCUAAAAUGCAUUAGCAGAACAAUUUGUUGACCCGUUCAUUGGUGUGAUAACUAUCUACGCUUUUGACGUGAAACAGGGUUCAGCUCUAACAGUCCAUUGACUUGGACAAUUUUCAUUAAUGUGACCUCAAAUCAGGUAGGACUACCCGCUGAACUUAA
rnacentral:misc_RNA from 1 species